GUCUUAAUGGUGAAAUAAUCACAUCACUUUUUCAAGGUGAAAUUGAACUUUAAAUUCUUAAGAUAUUAUCAACUAGAAAAAAAUUAAUA
rnacentral:tRNA from 1 species